ACAGUUUAAAAUAAGGGCGUAUGGUGGAUGCCUUGACAUCAGAUGGCGAUGAAGGACGUGGCGUAGCUGCGAUAAGCUUCGGGGAGGUGCUUAGCAACCUAUGAUCCGGAGAUUUCCGAAUGGGAAAACCCAGCGCGGUAAACCCGCGCUAUCAUGCUUAUAAGUAGUAUGAUGCUAACCCGCUGAAGUGAAACAUCUCAGUAAGCGGAGGAAAAGAGAAAAAUUUUAUUCCCCAAGUAGCGGCGAGCGAAAAGGGAAAAGCCCAAACCUGUCAAAAUUUUCGCAAGAAAAUUUUGAUGGGGGUUGUAAGACAGAGAAAUUUACUAUUUAUAGUAAGAUUGGUUACAAAUUAACUUGUUAGCCAAACAGUCUGGAAAGACUGAUCAAAGAGGGUGAUAAUCCCGUAGGCGAAAAUAAGUUAACCAAUUUUCUUUGAUCUUGAGUACCUCGAGGACAGAAUGCUUCGAGGGAAUCAUCCGGCACUAUCCGGAAAGGCUAAAUACAUCUGAUGAUCGAUAGUGAACUAGUACCGUGAGGGAAAGGUGAAAAGUAGGCCGGCAAGGCCGAUGAAAUAGAAUCUGAAACCAUAUGUCUACAAGGAACGGAAGUCCGCAAGGACGACCGUGUGCCUAUUGAAGAAUGAGCCAACGAGUUUAUAUAAAUCGUUUGUCUAAGUCCUACGGGGCGGAGGCAAAGGGAAACCGAGUGUUAAAAGCGCGCCACCUUGUGCUUCGCACAAGGAAUUCCUAAUUGACCUAAUUUCUAAUUGACCUAAAUAAUGACCAAUGACCAAGCACUAAAUGACCACAAUUAUAUUUGGUUAUUGGGAUUUGGGAAAUUGGGAUUUAUUUAGAAAUUAGAAAUUAGAAAUUAGAAAUUUCUCGCGCGGAGCGCGAGGUUAACGGUUUGUGUAAGACCCGAAGCCAGGCGAGCUUGCCUUGGCCAGGAUGAAGUCCCGCGAAAGCGGGAUGGAGGUCCGAACCGGUUGAUUGUGCAAAAUCUUCGGAUGAGCUGAGGUAAGAAGUGAAAAGCUAAUCGAGCCUGGUAAUAGCUGGUUCUCUCCGAAACAGUUUUAGGACUGGCGUCGAGUAAAAACUUUUCUGGGGUAGAGCUACUGGUUAAGAAGUAAAGGGAGAAAUCUCGACUUCUCAGUCAAACUCCGAAUACGGAAAAGCACGGCUCGGCAGUUAGAACGUGGGGGCUAAGCUCCAUGUUCGAAAGGGAAACAGCCCUUGAUCGUCGUUUAAGGUCCCUAAAUAUUUGCUAAGUGUUAAAGGCAGUUAUCCGCCAUAAACAGAUAGGAGGUUGGCUUAGAGGCAGCCAUCCUUUAAAGAGUGCGUAACAGCUCACUAUUCGACGGCGGGUUGCGCCGAAAAUUUACCGGGGCUAAGCAAAUUACCGAAAACACGAAUCCCCGACUUCACGUCGGGGGUGGUAGGAGAGCAUUUCGUACGCGCUGAAGGUUGACCCGCGAGGGCAACUGGAGCGUACGGAAGAGAGAAUGUUGGCAUGAGUAACCGCAAGUCCGAUGAGAACUCGGACUCCCGCAAAUCCAAGGUUUCCUCCGCAAUGUAAAUCAACGGAGGGUUAGGCGGUCCUAAGGCAAUGGCGAAAGCCGGAGUUAAUGGACAACUGGUUAAUAUUCCAGUCCCUCAAUAUUUUUCGAUGGGGUGACGAGGUUUAGUAGAUAAAGCGUCUUAAUGGUUUGACGUCCUUGAUCGAGGAUUCCCGACUAGAAAAUCUGUCGGGAUGCUUUUAAUAGCAAAUCCCAGAGUAGAGGCGAUGUCUGGUUUUACCGGAUAAAGUUUGUCGAGCAAAUCUCCGAGAAAAACCUCUAAGAUUAGAAAUGUUGGGUCCGUACCGUAAACCGACACAGGUGGAUGAGGCGAGUAGCCUCAGGGAAACGAGUGAUUCCUCGUUAAGGAACUCGGCAAAAAAGCGGCCGUAAGUUAGCAAUAAGGCCUACCCGAGAUGCCGCAAGGCAUUUUUCGGGUCGCAGCGAAAGUAUCCCUAGCGACUGUUUAACAAAAACACAGCUCCCUGCAAACUCGUAAGAGGAGGUAUAGGGGGUGACACCUGACCGAUGCGAGAAGGUCAAGGUUGCCGGUUGCGUGUAGCAAUAUGCGCAGCUGAGUGACUCAAGCCCUCGUCAAUGUCAGCGAUAACUAUAAUCGUUCUAAGGUAGCGCAAUUCCUUUUCGGGUAAGUUCCGAAGCGCACGAAAGGUGUAACGACUGGGGAACUGUCUCAACGAGGAGCUCGGUGAAAAUGCGAUUCCCGUGAAGACGCGGGAUACCUCUAGCGGGACGAAAAGACCCCGGGAGCUUUACUGUAGCUUGAUAUUGUUUUUAGAAUUUAAAUGCGUAGCGUAGUGGGGAGGCUUUGAAGUUUCGAUCUCGGUCGGGAUGGAGCCGACAAUGAAACACCCAUCUUUUAAAUUUUAAAAACUAACCUGAACGGCAAAAACGUUCGGGGACAGUGUCUGGCGGGCAGUUUUUCUGGGGCGGAAUCCUCCUAAAGAGUAACGGAGGAGUUUAUUAAGGUCGGCUUAGCUCGGAUGGAAAUCGAGCUGGACGCGUAAAGGCAAAAGCCGGCUUAACGGCAAGGCUGACAAGCCGCGCCGGUGCGAAAGCAGAACUUAGUGACCCGACGGUCCUUUAUAGAAAGGCCGGAGAUAACGGAUAAAAGCUACCCCGGGGAUAACAGGCUAGUGAGAUCCGAGAGUUCUUAUCGACGAUCUCGCUCGGCACCUCGAUGUCGGCUCAUCACAGCGCGGGGCUGAAGAAGGUCCCAAGCGUUUGGCUGUUCGCCAAUUAAAGUGAUACGCGAGCUGGGUUCAAACCGUCAAAGAAAGAACCCUUUAUGACCAUCGAACACGGCGGCUUUCGACAGUGAUGUCAAAAUGCAUAAAUCGACUCAUAUCGGUGAAAUCCUAAUAUUGAUUUUUAACCUGUCAAAUGUUAGGAUAAUACCGAGGGAAGUUGUGUAUGCUUAAUCAAAUUCAAAAAUCAUAUAUCGCAGGAUUUUUAGACGGAGAUGGAAGUAUUUAUGUGCGAUUAAAACCAAAUCGAACUUAUCGGUAUGGUUUUCAAGUAUCGCCAUAUAUUGUUUUAUUUCAAUCUCAGAAAGAUCGGGUUAAUUUUCAAAAGAUUUGUAAUUUAAUUGGUUUAGGUUAUUUAAGAAUACGCAAAGACGGUAUUCUUGAAUAUAUAAUUGGAAGAACCGACGCGUUGCGCGAUUUUUUGAAAAUGGUAAAACCAUUUGUAAUUCUUAAAAAAGAACAAGUUAAUCUGAUGAUAAAAAUUCUAAAUAUGAAAGAAAAUAUAAAAAAUAAGAAUGAUUUUAUUAAACUCGCAAAAUUAGUAGAUAGUUUUCGGGAUUUAAAUUAUUCUAAGAAACGAAAAAAGCGUACAUUAACCCCGUAGAGACUUCUUCGACUUAUGUCGGAGAGAUAAAAUCUUUAAAGAUUUUAUAAAACGUCGAUCUUCUUAAUAAAAAAAGAAGGUGGUAUAGUCCAAUCAAUUAGUAAUAGUUGAAAUUAUGCGUGAGACAGGUUGGUCUCUAUCUGCUAGAGGCGUUGAUGUUUGAGGGAAGUUGGCCUUUGUACGAGAGGAUCAGGCUGAACGAACCUCUGGUCUACCGGCUUUGCCACCAGGUGAAGCGCCGGGUAGCUAUGUUCGGCAGGGAUAAGCGCUGAAAGCAUCUAAGCGCGAAGCCCCUCCCAAGAUUAGACAUCUUAGACUCGUGGAAGAUUACCACGUUGAUAGGCUUUAGGUGUAAGUCCGGCAACGGAUUAAGCCAAGAAGUACUAAUAAGUCAUAAAUAAUUUAUCU
rnacentral:rRNA from 1 species